CAGUCGCCGCGGUAAUACAGAGGGUGCGAGCGUUAAUCGGAUUUACUGGGCGUAAAGCGUGCGUAGGCGGCUUUUUAAGUCGGAUGUGAAAUCCCUGAGCUUAACUUAGGAAUUGCAUUCGAUACUGGGAAGCUAGAGUAUGGGAGAGGAUUGUAGAAUUCCAGGUGUAGCGGUGAAAUGCGUAGAGAUCUGGAGGAAUACCGAUGGCGAAGGCAGCCAUCUGGCCUAAUACUGACGCUGAGGUACGAAAGCAUGGGGAGCAAACAGGAUUAGAUACCCCCGUAGUCCCUGUCUCUUAUAA
rnacentral:rRNA from 1 species